GACGAACGCUGGCGGCGUGCUUAACACAUGCAAGUCGAACGGAGUGGCGAACGGGUGAGUAACACGUGGGUGAUCUGCCUUGCACUUCGGGAUAAGCUUGGGAAACUGGGUCUAAUACCGGAUAGUGCAAGAUGAGCUCGCGGCCUAUCAGCUUGUUGGUGGGGUAAUGGCCUACCAAGGCGUCGACGGGUAGCCGGCCUGAGAGGGUGUACGGACACAAUGGGACUGAGAUACGGCCCAGAGCCCGACGUGAGGCAGCAGGGGGGAAUAUUGCACAAUGGGCGGAAGCCUGAUGCAGAGACGCAGGGUGGGGGAUGAAGGCCUUCGGGUUGUAAACUCCUUUAGACAGGGACGCGGUACCUGUAUAAGAAGCACCGGCUAACUACGUGCCAGAAGCCGCGGUAAUAC
rnacentral:rRNA from 1 species